AACAGAACCAUACCACCAAUCAAAACUAUAUGCUAACUGUCAAUCAUAUUUGAUGAUAGUGCUCUUGACAGAAAUAGUGUUUAAUAAAAUUUGAUAUCUUGUAUAUUUUUAAUACAGAUCCAGUCCAACAGAGGGUAGCCAGCAAUAUGAAGCCAAAAAAAAGUAUGAGUGUCCAGAAUGCUGUUGGAGAGUGAGGCAAAACAACUUUGACUACUCCAAGGUUUUGAAAAGAAGAGUGAGAGAGGGAACAGAGGAGGUCCUCAUUUGUUGGGUUCCAUGCAAGACCUGUGGGACCAAAUGGAAAGACUCCUGGGAGCCCUCCUCCCUUCUUGAAUAAUGAAUUACAUUUUUAUUUUUAUUUUGUAUUUUCUUUUAUAAUGAAUAAAAUAACU